rnacentral:rRNA from 1 species
UGGGGAAUCUUGGACAAUGGGGGCAACCCUGAUCCAGCCAUGCCGCGUGAGUGAUGAAGGCCUUAGGGUCGUAAAGCUCUUUCGCCUGUGAAGAUAAUGACGGUAGCAGGUAAAGAAACCCCGGCUAACUCCGUGCCAGCAGCCGCGGUAAUACGGAGGGGGUUAGCGUUGUUCGGAAUUACUGGGCGUAAAGCGCACGUAGGCGGACCAGAAAGUUGGGGGUGAAAUCCCGGGGGCUCAACCCCGGAACUGCCUCCAAAACUAUCGGUCUAGAGUUCGAGAGAGGUGAGUGGAAUUCCGAGUGUAGAGGUGAAAUUCGUAGAUAUUCGGAGGAACACCAGUGGCGAAGGCGGCUCACUGGCUCGAUACUGACGCUGAGGUGCGAAAGUGUGGGGAGCAAACAGGAUUAGAUACCCUGGUAGUCCACACCGUAAACGAUGAAUGCCAGUCGUCGGAUAGCAUGCUAUUCGGUGACACACCUAACGGAUUAAGCAUUCCGCCUGGGGAGUACGGUCGCAAGAUUAAAACUCAAAUGAAUU